CUUCAUUGAUGACUGCUUAUCUCACCAACACACUUGUGAUUCUUAACCCGAUACUUCCACGAGAAGCUUUGGCCGCAAAUUGAGCAGGAAAAGGGUUUCUCACCAGUGUGGGUUCUUGUGUGUCUUUUUAAGCUUCCCUUCUCAGAGAAUCUUUGACCACAAACUGUGCAGGAAAAAGGCUUCUCAUCAGGGUGUGUUCUUGUGUGUUCAGUCAAUUGUUCCUUUGUCAAGUACCUUUUGUUACAAA